rnacentral:rRNA from 1 species
CCUACGUGUGGCUGCAGUGAGGAAUAUUGGUCAAUGGCCGGAAGGCUGAACCAGCCAUGCCGCGUGAAGGUCAGUGCCCUAUGGGCGUUAAACUUCUUUUGUGCGGGAGCAAUAAUGGUCACGUGUGGCCAGACGAGAGUACCGUACGAAUAAGCAUCGGCUAACUCCGUGCCAGCAGCCGCGGUAAUACGGGGGAUGCAAGGGUUUUCCGGAUUUUUUGGGGUUCAAGGGUGCGUGAGCUGGGAGGUAAGUCAGUGGUGAAAUGCCUCCGCCCAACGGGGGGAAGUGCCAUUGAUACUGGCUUGCUGGAAUGCAGAGGAGGUAGGAGGAAUGUGUGGUGUAGCGGUGAAAUGCAUAGAUAUCACACAGAACACCGAUUGCGAAGGCAUCUCACGAAUCCGCGAUUGACGCUGAUGCACGAAAGCGUGGGUAUCAAACAGGAUUAGAUACCCCGGUAGUC